rnacentral:tRNA from 1 species
GGAGAGAUGGCUCAGCGGUUAAGAGCACUGGCUGCUCUUCCAGAGGACCUGGGUUCAAUUCCUAGCACCA